ensembl:lncRNA
CUGAAGUAGUUGAAAUUAACCAAUAGAUGCAGAAAUGUCUGGAGGAGGACAACUGACAGGCAGUUGGGCAGUGAUUGUGACGGAACAAUAAUGCAGUCAUUACUGAAAUAAGCCAUUUUUCACAUCUCAUGAAUUGUUGCUGGAGACAAAGUGGUUGAUGGUCUGGCUGCAGGCAAUAUGGCUUCAGCAGCAGCUGCUUAGGAAAGGACAUCCAUCAACACACCUCUGGAGAAGGGCUGCUCACGUGGUGUGUUGUGGAACUGCUUGUGGCUGGACGCACCGCAGUCAGGGCCAAUCCCAACUGGUGCUGAUGUAAACAAGCUACAAGUCAAAGAUGCAAUCCCUGCAAAGAAUUGGUGAAACAGCUGCAAUUAAAAAGACAGUUUCUAAGCUAUUAGGAUGAAAAAUCAAUCUUCUCUGACUGUCAUCUGUAAUUCCCAGCUUGCAGGUUUGAGAAGGAAGAAAAAUCAAUCUGGUGACAACAAAGAGGGAAAACAGAGUGCACAUUCUCUGGCAAAUCACACCUUCCUGAUUGCAACACCAUGUGGCUUUUAAUUUCACCAAAAGAGAGCCAGUAAUUAUUUAUAGCUUAUAACAACUGGGGAAAGGUUUCCUGAGGUACAAACUAAUUAUGUUUUUUAAAUAAACUGAUUGUCCAUGUAAUAAAUGAUCACAUUUU